rnacentral:tRNA from 1 species
GUGGGCAUACCUCAGUGGUAGAGCACAUGCUUAGCAUGCAUAGGGUCCUGGGUUCAAUCCCCAGUACCUCCA